AAAUUGAAGAGUUUGAUCAUGGCUCAGAUUGAACGCUGGCGGCAGGCCUAACACAUGCAAGUCGAACGGUAACAGAAAGCAGCUUGCUGCUUUGCUGACGAGUGGCGGACGGGUGAGUAAUGUCUGGGAAACUGCCUGAUGGAGGGGGAUAACUACUGGAAACGGUAGCUAAUACCGCAUAACGUCGCAAGACCAAAGAGGGGGACCUUCGGGCCUCUUGC
rnacentral:rRNA from 1 species